GCAAGCUGCUGUGAUACGAGCUGCUGUAAAAACGGAGGCCUCCAGACCAACAGCCAGGGAGUAGAGGAGAGACUCACAUUAGUGGCCACUGGACCAGUGGGAGGAAGAGCUUAUGGGAAGAGACUUCUUUGGCUCAUCUCAUGUUACAUCUUGGAGUGACCUCAAAGGCCCCAUCCCAGAAGGCACAGCCACAAAAAACGUGGCCUCCACCAGCAUGGAUCCCUGAAUGUAAUGGGAUCAGAGCCUCCUGCCCA
rnacentral:lncRNA from 1 species